rnacentral:rRNA from 1 species
CAGCAGCCGCGGUAAUACAGAGGAUGCAAGCGUUAUCCGGAAUGAUUGGGCGUAAAGCGUCUGUAGGUGGCUUUUCAAGUCUGAUGUGAGAGCCCCCGGCUCAACCGGGGAGGGUCAUUGGAAACUGGGAAACUUGAGUGCAGAAGAGGAGAGUGGAAUUCCACGUGUAGCGGUGAAAUGCGUAGAGAUGUGGAGGAACACCAGUGGCGAAGGCGGCUCACUGGUCCGGUACUGACGCUGAGGUGCGAAAGCGUGGGGAGCAAACAGGAUUAGAUACCCCUGUAGUCCCUGUCUCUUAUAC